GGCGGACGGGUGAGUAAUACUUAGGAAUCUGCCCAUUAGUGGGGGACAACUAGAAGAAAUUCUAGCUAAUACCGCAUACGCCCUACGGGGGAAAGCGGGGGAUCUUCGGACCUCGCGCUAAUGGAUGAGCCUAAGUCGGAUUAGCUUGUUAGUGAGGUAAAGGCUCACCAAGGCGACGAUCCGUAGCUGGUCUGAGAGGACGAUCAGCCACACUGGGACUGAGACACGGCCCAG
rnacentral:rRNA from 1 species